rnacentral:rRNA from 1 species
CCUACGGGGAGCAGCAGUGAGGAAUAUUGGUCAAUGGACGCAAGUCUGAACCAGCCAUGCCGCGUGCAGGAAGACGGCUCUAUGAGUUGUAAACUGCUUUUGUACGAGGGUAAACGCAGAUACGCGUAUCUUUCUGAAAGUAUCGUACGAAUAAGGAUCGGCUAACUCCGUGCCAGCAGCCGCGGUAAUACGGAGGAUUCAAGCGUUAUCCGGAUUUAUUGGGUUUAAAGGGUGCGUCGGCGGUUGGUUAAGUAAGAGGUGAAAUCCCGCGGCUCAACUUCGGAAUUGCCUUUGAUACUGUUAGGCUAGAGAGCAGUUGAGGUAGGCGGAAUGCAUGGUGUAGCGGUGAAAUGCUUAGAGAUCAUAAAGAACACCGAUUGCGAAGGCAGCUUACCAAGCUAUGUCUGACGUUGAGGCACGAAAGCGUGGGGAGCAAACAGGAUUAGAUACCCCUGUAGUC